CACGUAGGGUCCGAGCGUUGUCCGGAAUUACUGGGCGUAAAGUGCACGUAGGCGGACAUUUAAGUCAGGGGUGAAAUCCCAGAGCUCAACUCUGGAACUGCCUUUGAUACUGGGUGUCUUGAGUAUGGAAGAGGUGAGUGGAAUUCCGAGUGUAGAGGUGAAAUUCGUAGAUAUUCGGAGGAACACCAGUGGCGAAGGCGGCUCACUGGUCCAUUACUGACGCUGAGGUGCGAAAGCGUGGGGAGCAAACAGG
rnacentral:rRNA from 1 species